rnacentral:rRNA from 1 species
AGACCCGAAACCCGGUGAUCUAGCCAUGGGCAGGUUGAAGGUUGGGUAACACUAACUGGAGGACCGAACCGACUAAUGUUGAAAAAUUAGCGGAUGACCUGUGGCUGGGGGUGAAAGGCCAAUCAAACCGGGAGAUAGCUGGUUCUCCCCGAAAGCUAUUUAGGUAGCGCCUCGUGAAUUCAUCUCCGGGGGUAGAGCACUGUUUCGGCUAGGGGGCCAUCCCGGCUUACCAACCCGAUGCAAACUGCGAAUACCGGAGAAUGUUAUCACGGGAGACACACGGCGGGUGCUAACGUCCGUCGUGAAGAGGGAAACAACCCAGACCGCCAGCUAAGGUCCCAAAGUCAUGGUUAAGUGGGAAACGAUGUGGGAAGGCCCAGACAGCCAGGAUGUUGGCUUAGAAGCAGCCAUCAUUUAAAGAAAGCGUAAUAGCUCACUGGUCGAGUCGGCCUGCGCGGAAGAUGUAACGGGGCUAAACCAUGCACCGAAGCUGCGGCAGCGAACGUAUCACCCAAGACAACUUUACGGAGUUGACGAUUGACGGAGCGAAGCGACGUCAAAGCGUUCAUUAAAGUCGAGUUGGCUUAGGGAUACGUUCGUUGGGUAGGGGAGCGUUCUGUAAGCCUGUGAAGGUGUGUCGUGAGGCAUGCUGGAGGUAUCAGAAGUGCGAAUGCUGACAUAAGUAACGAUAAAGCGGGUGAAAAGCCCGCUCGCCGGAAGACCAAGGGUUCCUGUCCAACGUUAAUCGGGGCAGGGUGAGUCGACCCCUAAGGCGAGGCCGAAAGGCGUAGUCGAUGGGAAACGGGUUAAUAUUCCCGUACUUGGUGUUACUGCGAAGGGGGGACGGAGAAGGCUAUGUUGGCCGGGCGACGGUUGUCCCGGUUUAA